GCCUGAUUGACGCAGUUGGUAGCGACCCUGCCUACUGCGCAGGGGGCGUGGGUUCGACUCACGCACAAGACA